ensembl:snRNA U2 U2 spliceosomal RNA
AUUACUUUUUGGUUCCCUGGAGCUAAGAUCAAAAGAUAGUAUCUAAUCUUCUCAGUACAAUCUGUGAUAAGUGUUUGAUAUAAGAACUAUAUAUUAACUUGAUUUUUGAAAGAAAAGGAUUAGUUAGAACAGGAGCUUGUUUUGUCUACUCCAUGCAUGGAUCUGGUAUUGCAGUGUCUCCAAGAAAGGUGUAUGUUCU